CCUACGGGUGGCAGCAGUAGGGAAUCUUCCACAAUGGGCGAAAGCCUGAUGGAGCAACGCCGCGUGGGUGAAGAAGGUCUUCGGAUCGUAAAACCCUGUUGUUAGAGAAGAAAGUGCGUGAGAGUAACUGUUCACGUUUCGACGGUAUCUAACCAGAAAGCCACGGCUAACUACGUGCCAGCAGCCGCGGUAAUACGUAGGUGGCAAGCGUUAUCCGGAUUUAUUGGGCGUAAAGGGAACGCAGGCGGUCUUUUAAGUCUGAUGUGAAAGCCUUCGGCUUAACCGGAGUAGUGCAUUGGAAACUGGGAGACUUGAGUGCAGAAGAGGAGAGUGGAACUCCAUGUGUAGCGGUGAAAUGCGUAGAUAUAUGGAAGAACACCAGUGGCGAAAGCGGCUCUCUGGACUGUAACUGACGUUGAGGCUCGAAAGCGUGGGGAGCAAACAGGAUUAGAUACCCUUGUAGUC
rnacentral:rRNA from 1 species